rnacentral:rRNA from 1 species
CCUACGGGGGGCUGCAGUGAGGAAUAUUGGUCAAUGGGCGAGAGUCUGAACCAGCCAAGUAGCGUGAAGGAUGACUGCCCUACGGGUUGUAAACUUCUUUUAUAAAGGAAUAAAGUGAUCCACGUGUGGCUUUUUGUAUGUACUAUAUGAAUAAGGAUCGGCUAACUCCGUGCCAGCAGCCGCGGUAAUACGGAGGAUCCGAGCGUUAUCCGGAUUUAUUGGGUUUAAAGGGAGCGUAGGUGGAUUGUUAAGUCAGUUGUGCAAGUUUGCGGCUCAACCGUAAAAUUGCAGUUGAAACUGGCAGCCUUGAGUACAGUAGAGGUGGGCGGAAUGCGUGGUGUAGCGGUGAAAUGCUUAGAUAUCACGAAGAACUCCGAUUGCGAAGGCAGCUUACUAGACUGCCACUGACACUGAGGCUCGAAAGUGUGGGUAUCAAACAGGAUUAGAUACCCCUGUAGUC